rnacentral:rRNA from 1 species
GAUGAACGCUGGCGGCGUGCCUAAUACAUGCAAGUCGAGCGAACGGACGAGAAUCUUGCUUCUCUGAUGUUAGCGGCUGACGGGUGAUUAACACGUGGAUAACCUACCUAUAAUACUGGUAUAACUUCGGGAAACCGUAUCUAAUACCGUAUAAUAUUUUGAACCGCAUGGUUCAAUAGUUAAAUACGUUCUUUCUGUCUCUUAUAGAUUGUUCCUCGCUUCAUUAGCUAGUUGGUAAGGUAACGGCUUACCAAGGCAACGAUGCAUAGCCGACCUGAGAGGGUGAUCGGCAACACUGGAACGGAGACACGGACAAGAGUCCUACGGGAGGCAGCAGUAGGGAAUAUUCCGCAAUGGGCGAAAGCAUGACGGAGCAAAGCCGCGUGAGUGAAGAAGGUCUUCGGAUCGUAAAACUCUGCUAUUAGGGAAGAACAAAAGUGUAAGUAACUGUGAACAGCGUGACGGUACCUAAUCAGAAAGCAACGGCUAACUACGUG